AACGAACGCUGGCGGCGUGCCUAACACAUGCAAGUCGAGCGAGAACGGGGGGCAACCCCCUAGUACAGCGGCGCACGGGUGAGUAACACGUAGGUACCUACCUCCGAGCUUGGGAUAACCUGCCGAAAGGUGGGCUAAUACCGGAUAUGACCACGGGAGUUUCGGCUCCUGCGGUGAAAGGUGCCUCUGCUUGCAAGCUACCACUCAGAGAUGGGCCUGCGCGCCAUUAGCAGUUGGUGGGUACGGCCACCAAGGCUAUGAUGGCUAGCUGGUCUGAGAGGAUGGCCAGCCACACUGGGACUGACACACGGCCCAGACUCCUACGGGAGGCAGCAGUGGGGGAUAUUGCGCAAU
rnacentral:rRNA from 1 species